rnacentral:rRNA from 1 species
CAGCAGCCGCGGGAAUACGUAGGUGGCAAGCGUUGUCCGGAAUUAUUGGGCGUAAAGGGCUCGCAGGCGGUUUCUUAAGUCUGAUGUGAAAGCCCCCGGCUCAACCGGGGAGGGUCAUUGGAAACUGGGAAACUUGAGUGCAGAAGGGGAGAGUGGAAUUCCACGUGUAGCGGUGAAAUGCGUAGAGAUGUGGAGGAACACCAGUGGCGAAGGCGACUCUCUGGUCUGUAACUGACGCUGAGGAGCGAAAGCGUGGGGAGCGAACAGGAUUAGAUACCCCCGUAGUCCCUGUCUCUUAUAC